GACGAACCGUGCGAACGCUAUUCGGAAUCACUGGGCUUAAAGGGCGCGUAGGCGGGCUGUCAAGUCCGGGGUGAAAUCCCACGGCUCAACCGUGGAACUGCCUUAGAUACUGACGGCCUCGAGGAAGGUAGGGGCAUGCGGAACUGUAGGUGGAGCGGUGAAAUGCGUUGAUAUCUACAGGAACUCCGGUGGCGAAAGCGGCGUGCUGGACCUUUUCUGACGCUGAGGCGCGAAAGCUAGGGGAGCAAACGGG
rnacentral:rRNA from 1 species